rnacentral:rRNA from 1 species
AACGAACGCUGGCGGCAUGCCUAACACAUGCAAGUCGAACGAGACCUUCGGGUCUAGUGGCGCACGGGUGCGUAACGCGUGGGAACCUGCCCUUAGGUUCGGAAUAACUCCCCGAAAGGGGUGCUAAUACCGGAUAAUGUCUUCGGACCAAAGAUUUAUCGCCUUUGGAUGGGCCCGCGUUGGAUUAGCUAGUUGGUAGGGUAAAAGCCUACCAAGGCGACGAUCCAUAGCUGGUCUGAGAGGAUGAUCAGCCACACUGGGACUGAGACACGGCCUAGACUCCUACGGGAGGCAGCAGUGGGGAAUAUUGGACAAUGGGCGAAAGCCUGAUCCAGCAAUGCCGCGUGAGUGAUGAAGGCCUUAGGGUUGUAAAGCUCUUUUACCCGGGAUGACAAUGACAGUACCGGGAGAAUAAGCUCCGGCUAACUCCGUG